rnacentral:tRNA from 1 species
GCGCCCGUAGCUCAGCGGAUAGAGCGUCGGCCUCCGGAGCCGAAGGCCGGGGGUUCAAAUCCCUCCGGGCGCGCCA